AAAAAACCAAAUCCUAGUUUUCGUUCCAUCUUUAAUUGUUUGUCUUAUAUAAAAUUGUUUUAUAAUUCAUAGUUUUAUUAUUGUUAGAUGAUAAAACAUGAUAAAUAUUUUAUGCGUGACUUAUCAUUUUAAUUUUUUUUCAUAAUUUUUUUAAAUAAGACGGAUGUUUAAACGUUAGGCACGAAAUUU
rnacentral:pre_miRNA from 1 species